CACGUAGGGGGCAAGCGUUGUCCGGAUUUAUUGGGCGUAAAGAGCUCGUAGGUGGUUCGGUAAGUCAGGUGUGAAACCUCCAGGCUCAACCUGGAGACGCCACUUGAUACUGCUGUGACUGGAGUCCGGUAGGGGAGCGUGGAAUUCCUGGUGUAGCGGUGAAAUGCGCAGAUAUCGGGAGGAACACCGGUGGCGAAGGCGGUUCUCUGGGCCUGUACUGACGCUGAGGAACGAAAGCGUGGGGAGCGAACAGG
rnacentral:rRNA from 1 species